rnacentral:rRNA from 1 species
UACGGAGGGGGCUAGCGUUGUUCGGAAUUACUGGGCGUAAAGGGCUCGUAGGCGGCCAACUAAGUCAUACGUGAAAUCCCUCAGCUUAACUGGGGGAACUGCGUGUGAUACUGGAUGGCUUGGAUGUGGGAGAGGGAUGCGGAAUUCCAGGUGUAGCGGUGAAAAUGCGUAGAUAUCUGGAGGAACACCGGUGGCGAAGGGCGGCAUCCUGGACCGGUAUUGACGCUGAGGCGCGAAAGCCAGGGGAGCAAACA